rnacentral:rRNA from 1 species
GACGAACGCUGGCGGCGUGCUUAACACAUGCAAGUCGAACGGAAAGGCCUGGAUGUGGUGGGGUGCUCGAGUGGCGAACGGGGGAGUAACACGUGAGUAACCUGCCCUUGACUUGGGGAGAACGUUAGGAAACUGGGGCUAAUACCGGAUAGGAGAUCUGGAUGCAUGGUGGGGGUUGGAAAGUUUCGGCGGUUGGGGAUGGACUCGCGGCGUAUCAGCUUGUUGGUGGGGUAGUGGCUUACCAAGGCUUUGACGGGUAGCCGGCCUGAGAGGGUGACCGGCCACAUUGGGACUGAGAUCCGACCCAGACUCCUACGGGAGGCAGCAGUGGGGCCUAUUGCACCAUGGGCGGAAGCCUGAUGCAUCCCCGCCGCGUGCGGGAUGACGGCCUUCGGGUUGUCAACCACUUUCGCCUGUGACGAAGCGUGAGUGACGGUAAUGGGUAAAGAAGCACCGGCUAACUACGUG